UAAUGAGCUCUAGUCACCCAAAGAUAGCUAGGUUAAAGACUGGAUUUGUAUAAUCCAGGCAAUAGUUAAUUCCUAGUCGUUGUGACACCUUUCCAGGUUAGGUAAAAGAAACUCAAAGGGCUACACGUUAACACUUAGACUGCCAGGUUUAUGGGUUCAAGCUGACAUAGUGACAGGUUUUCAGAAUUAAGGCUCUGGAACCCUGACGUUGGUUUACAAAGCAUGGAAUCAGCAGCUCUCAAAUAUGUGGUGGCUUCCCUUCAGUUUUUAAUUGUCACUGGUAAUUGUACCUGGCUCUGGCAUGCUUCCCUUUCAUUUCCUGCUGUCCUCUACUGCUUGCCUCUAAAACAAGGUAAAGAGCAGAGCAGGUAUGUAUUAAUGUUGCGUUGUCUAAAUCAGCUAAAACGUACUUAAAGCACUUCAAUUUUGACUUUAAUUGGCGGUUGACCUUUUAGUUACAUGGUCAAGGAAGGCUGACUUGGGGGGGAGUGGGGCUUAAAAUGAGAAUAGGAAGGAGAGCAUGGUGUUAAAAGUUAUGCAGUAAUAAAUUAGAAAAGCUAAAUGUCUAUGGAGCUGAAAUAAUUUAGAUAUCAAAAGAAUAAUUUGAUAUUUGAUAUAAUUUCAGAUAAUUGUGAUCUGCAUUUUAAAAUAUCAAGAGACCGUCUCAGUGCUUCUUCCCUUACUAUGGAGAGUUUCGCUUUUCUUUGGGCUGGAGGAAGAGCUUCUUAUGGUGUGUCAAAAGGCAAAGUCUGCUUUGAGAUGAAGGUAACAGAGAAGAUUCCAGUAAGACAUUUAUAUACAAAAGAUAUUGAUAUACAUGAAGUUCGGAUUGGCUGGUCACUAACCACAAGUGGAAUGUUGCUUGGUGAAGAAGAAUUUUCUUAUGGGUAUUCUCUGAAAGGAAUAAAAACCUGCAACUGUGAGACAGAAGAUUAUGGAGAGAAGUUUGAUGAAAAUGAUGUGAUUACGUGCUUUGCU
rnacentral:lncRNA from 1 species